rnacentral:rRNA from 1 species
AUGCAUUCCAUGAAUAACAAUGCUCUAGAUAUUUCUCAUGAUGCAUUACAACCUUUGAGUCUCCAUUAUGCCAUACAUAACAACAAACCUCUCAUGAUGGAUGACAUGUUUCUAUAUCACGCAUCUCAUUUAUUUGAGCAUUGGAUAUUUUGUGCUAACCGACACAUGCACGUGCGCAUCAUGAUGGAUGAUGUGUACAUAUACCAUGCACACACAAUUUUUCCUUUGUCUUUGUUUUGUGUAGGUACUCAUGUAUACUCGUCAACCUCUCAAUCCCAAGAGUUGACGAAACGAGCUCUUGAGAGCAACGACGGCUUGGGAUCCCGUGGACUAUCCUUACCACUGUUCCCUUCACGCAAGGACUACGCGAAUCUCUUCUACUUGGCUCUCACACAACUAUGGGCUAUUUACCACUUGUCACCUUAUGCCCAUACUAACGUGUUCACUUUGCAUGUUAUGCCUAUUUACAUGAUUUUGCCAUGCAACUGUGACCCUUACUUGCAUCUACCCAUGAUUCACCAUUAUCCUACUUCUAUGUGUAUUUGCAUGCUUGGUAGAGAUCCUUGUUGCUUUUGCCAUGUUUAUCAUGUGCCCCAUGCUAUUGAUGCUUGUUGUGUUGGGAGAGUCAUGAUGCCCCAUUGCUACUUACAUAUGGCCUCUCGCCAAUACAUUGAUGAUAUUUUUCUCAUAUCUUGCUUUCAUGCUUGUGCUAUGUCAUGUGAAUUAUUCUUGCACACUAUUUGCACCAAUGACAUGCUUGCCAUGAUUCCUCCUAGUAUGUUGCAUCUUCGCACUACUAGCUUGCUUGACUUGAUCGCUUGGAUUGCUUGCUAUGUUGCAUCACCCAUGUUCCACUAUUACUUGCUUUCUUGGGUUGAUGACAUAUAUGCGCAUGCCUCUCACAUGAUAUAUCUUGAUCAUUGUCUCUUGUGUCCAUUAGUUGCCUCUUUCAUAUCCACUUGUAUUGAGUGCAACCAUACUAUGCUUCUUGAUCUUGGAGACUUUGACACCUUACUUGUGAUGCAUGCUUGUUUGAUUGAGCCUAUUGCAUUUGGUUGUUCUCGCAUCAUAUGCCUCCAUACUAUGAAAUGCUCCCUUGUCCUUUCUUAUGAUGAGCAUGAUGCAUACAGUUGUUGGGUAUCUUACCUCACGAAUGAUAGGUGUUGCAUUUGCACUAACCUCAUUUGUUUUUCCGAGUGUUUGCCAUGUUCUUUUGUUUUGAAGGAUUCACAAGGCGGUACCAUGAUACGACAACUUGGUCAUGUGAAGGCAUACAUGAUGUGUGACACCAACAUUUUCGACAUUCUCAUAAAGGUGAUCUCCUUCUCUUUGAGCCAUCCUCAAGUUUGCAUAUUGGAUGGGUCACUCUUUCAUUGUUGUUUCCUUCUUGUUGUCUACAUGAUACAUCUCGCGAACGGAGGAGCGACAUUGGAGAUUGGCUCUAUGGACCUUCACAUUGAGGAGUGCACCCUAUGCAUGGAUUGA